rnacentral:rRNA from 1 species
GAUCCUGGCUCAGGAUGAACGCUAGCGGCAGGCUUAACACAUGCAAGUCGAGGGGCAGCAUAAUGAAGUAGCAAUAUGGAUUUGAUGGCGACCGGCGCACGGGUGCGUAACGCGUAUGUAACCUACCUUUAACAGGGGGAUAACACUGAGAAAUUGGUACUAAUACCCCCAUAACACCUUUAGGGGGCAUCCUUAGAGGUUGAAAGUUCCGGCGGUUAAAGAUGGACAUGCGUUGUAUUAGCUAGAUGGUGAGGUAAAGGCUCACCAUGGCGACGAUACAUAGGGGGACUGAGAGGUUAACCCCCCACACUGGUACUGAGACACGGACCAGACUCCUACGGGAGGCAGCAGUGAGGAAUAUUGGUCAAUGGACGCAAGUCUGAACCAGCCAUGCCGCGUGCAGGAAGACGGCUCUAUGAGUUGUAAACUGCUUUUGUACAAGGGUAAACCUCGGUACGUGUACCGAGCUGAAAGUACUGUACGAAUAAGGAUCGGCUAACUCCGUG